rnacentral:rRNA from 1 species
AAACCCUAAGGCGGAAUGAAAGUGAAGGCAGUCUUGUACUGCUGAGGUAGGAAACCCGCAAGGGUGGCACUAUCGCCCGAUCUAACCUUCUGGAAAGAUUUGAGGAAGAGCAUAUAUGUUGGGACCCGAAAGAUGGUGAACUAUGCCUGAUCAGGGUGAAGCCAGGGGAAACUCUGGUGGAGGCUCGUAGCGAUACUGACGUGCAAAUCGUUCGUCUGAAUUGGGUAUAGGGGCGAAAGACUAAUCGAACCAUCUAGUAGCUGGUUCCCGCCGAAGUUUCCCUCAGGAUAGCAGGAACUUUUACAGUUUUAUCAGGUAAAGCUAAUGAUUAAAGGUCUUGGAGUUGAAACAACUUUAACCUAUUCUCAAACUUUAAAUAGGUAAGAAACCUUUGCUUUCUUAAGUGAAGCAGGGUCUCGAAUGGAAGUUCUUAGUGGGCCAUUUUUGGUAAGCAGAACUGGCGAUGCGGGAUGAACCGGACGUUGAGUUAAGGUGCCAAACUACUCGCUCAUCUAGAUACUCCUAAAAGGUGUU